ACUGUGGUCACAUCCACCCCAAUGUCCUCACUUGUCCCUUUUUACUUUCAUGUCUCCCUUCAUGGUGAAAUCUAGCUUUCUCAGUACAAUUUGUUAAAGAUACUGUCUUGUUGUUGUUGUUGUUAGAACUCAAGUAACUGUAGUUGCCUGUACUGGUAUCUGGGCCCUCAAUUCUCUUCUAUUGAUGCAGCACUGUAGGGGAAGCUGUAGCCACGCCCACUUAGCGGCUGGCUACAGGUGUGCCUGACCACGCCUGCGAGGGCCAUGCUGUUUUGAUCACCAUGGCUCUGUAGUAGAGUUUGUAAUCAGGUAUGGUGACACCUCCAGUAGUGUUUCAUUCCUCAGGACUGCUUGGCUAUCAUUAGUUCUUUUUAAGCCUUUAUAUAAAUUUGUAUGAUGUGUUUUUUUUUCUGUGCCUGUGAAGAAUGCUCUUGGAAUUUUUAUUGGGACUACAUUGAAUCUGUAGAUUGUAGUUUAGAAUAGCCAUUUUCUUUUCUUUCUGUCUCUCUUUCUUUUCCCUUUUAGGCCAUUUUCAUAAAACUAAAUUCCUCCAACCCAUAAGCAUGGGAGAUCUUCCCAUUUGCUAGUGUCUUCCUCAAUUUUCGUUUUUAGUGUCUUAAAGCUUUCGUUAUAGAAGUCUUUUGUUUCCUUGGUUCCAUUUAUUCCCAGGCAUUUCAUUUGAUUUUUGUGGUUAUUGUGAAUUCCUUUCAGCAUGUUUGUUUGUUAUUAGCAUAUGGGAAAACUUCUGUGUGUUAAUUUUGUACCCUGCGGCUUUUGGUUUCUCAGCUUUAAGAGUUUUGUGUUGGACUCCGUAAUUGGCCACUUCCUCUUCCACUAACUGGUCCCAAAUAACUGACUCAGAGGCUGAAUAUGAAUUACAGAUGCCUGGCUGAUUGCUCAGGCUUAUUACCAGCUAGCACUUACAUUUUAAGUUAACUCAAAUUCCUUACCCUCUACCAUUCGAAAGUACCUUUAUUAACACAGCACAUUCAUCUCCUGCUCCCUCUGCAGCUGUCAGCAACUCUCUCAACUCCCCUGACUCUAGCCUUCCUUCGUCCAUCAUUCUCUCUGUGUCAGGCUGUCUUCUUGCCCUGCUAUCAGCCAAUCUGGUUUUUAUUAACAAUGAGCAUAAUGCACAGCAGAAUGUAGGGGAAGCUGUAGCCACGCCUUCUUAGGAGCUGGCUACAGGUGUGCCUGACCACGCCUGUGAGGGCAUAGUCAGAGUGACGUCGUGUGACUGCGUUUGCUCUUUCGAUUUCACUUUGCUUCUUGCUGUACAGACUGCUGCCACGCCCGGCUGGCUAGGUCGCUCUCUAAGACGACUUCAAGCACAACACUGCCUAGAAGUGGAGAGUAUGACACCCUUGUCCCAGAUGUGGGUCCUGGAAAUCAAACUCUGGGUUCUCUGAAAGAAAAGUGCAUAAGUACAUGUUCUUAACUGCUGAGCCACGAUUCAGGAAUGUUUUGCUGCACGAGUAUGUAUGUUCAUGUGAGUUCCUGGUGCCCAAGGUCAGAAAAGGGCAUAGGAUUCCCUGGAACUGAAGCUACAGGCAAUUGUGAGCCAGCACAGGGAUGCUCUGAAGAGGAAGUGCCCUUAAACACCGAGCCAUCUCUCCAAUACUUUUAUAAUGAAGGGAUGUUGGAUUUUAUCAAAGGCCUUUUCCACCGUCUGUUGAGAUGCUUGUUGAUUUCUGCCUUCUGUUUGUGUAAUAAAUUAUACUUACUGAUAUACACUGUUACAUGUAAGAUGACCUACC
ensembl:lncRNA